rnacentral:pre_miRNA from 1 species
ACACAAAUCUAGAGAUUUUUGUUAAAAUGCACAUUCUGAUCCAGUAGAUCUGGGAUGAGACCAAAGAAUUUGCAUUUUUAACUAACUCCCAGGUGGUGUUGAU